AGAAUUCUUUACAUGCAAACUUUAGCACUGUUACAUGGUUGGGGGAUUUAUGAAAAAAUGAGCUGUAUUUUUCAAUAAGUAGGCUCCAAGCUGGGCUUUCCUCCCCAGCGCUAUUCCAAUAUGGGGCUUGAACUCACGAACCUGAGAUCAAGAUCUGAACUGAGAUCAAAACUUGGACACUUAACCAACUAAGCCACCCAGGUACCCUGGAAUUGUACACUUUCAACAAGUGAAUCGUAUGGUAUAUGACAACUCAAGAGAGCUAUUAAAAAAAAAGGGUGGUCCCACCAACCUCCAUAAAUUGAAUAAAUGAAUAAAUUCUUUGAACA